rnacentral:rRNA from 1 species
UGCUGACGAGUGACGCACGGGUGAGUAACGCGUAGGUAAUCUACCUAUUGGACUGGGAUAGCGCGUACGAAAGUAGGAUUAAAACCAGAUAUAUUUAUCUAAUCUUAAGAUUAAAUAAAGAAAUGUCUAAGCCGAUAGAUGAGCCUGCGUUAGAUUAGUUAGUAGGUGUGGUAAUGGCGCACCUAGGCAUCGAUCUAUAGCCGAGUUGAGAGGCUAAUCGGCCACAUUGGAACUGAGACACGGUCCAGACUCCUACGGGAGGCAGCAGCUAAGAAUCUUCCGCAAUGGUUGAGAGACUGACGGAGCGACGCCGCGUGAAUGAUGAAGGCCUUUUAGGUUGUAAAAUUCUUUUAUAAUAGAUGAAAGUAUAGAUAUAGUUUAUGCUGACCGUAUAUUAUGAAUAAGGUCCGGCUAACUACGUGCCAGCAGCCGCGGUAAAACGUAGGGACCUAGCGUUGUUCGGAAUUACUGGGCGUAAAGGGUAUGCAGGCUGUUAUAUAAGUCAGAUGUGAAAGACCCGGGCUCAACCUUGGAAUUGCGUCUGAUACUGUAUAACUUGGGUAGCUGAGAGGAAGUCGGAAUUCCUGGUGUAGGGGUGACAUCUCUAGAUAUCAGGAAGAACACCA